AGAGUUUGAUCAUGGCUCAGGAUGAACGCUGGCGGCGUGCCUAAUACAUGCAAGUCGAGCGAACGGACGAGAAGCUUGCUUCUCUGAUGUUAGCGGCGGACGGGUGAGUAACACGUGGAUAACCUACCUAUAAGACUGGGAUAACUUCGGGAAACCGGAGCUAAUACCGGAUAAUAUUUUGAACCGCAUGGUUCAAAAGUGAAAGACGGUCUUGCUGUCACUUAUAGAUGGAUCCGCGCUGCAUUAGCUAGUUGGUAAGGUAACGGCUUACCAAGGCAACGAUGCAUAGCCGACCUGAGAGGGUGAUCGGCCACACUGGAACUGAGACACGGUCCAGACUCCUACGGGAGGCAGCAGUAGGGAAUCUUCCGCAAUGGGCGAAAGCCUGACGGAGCAACGCCGCGUGAGUGAUGAAGGUCUUCGGAUCGUAAAACUCUGUUAUUAGGGAAGAACAUAUGUGUAAGUAACUGUGCACAUCUUGACGGUACCUAAUCAGAAAGCCACGGCUAACUACGUGCCAGCAGCCGCGGUAAUACGUAGGUGGCAAGCGUUAUCCGGAAUUAUUGGGCGUAAAGCGCGCGUAGGCGGUUUUUUAAGUCUGAUGUGAAAGCCCACGGCUCAACCGUGGAGGGUCAUUGGAAACUGGAAAACUUGAGUGCAGAAGAGGAAAGUGGAAUUCCAUGUGUAGCGGUGAAAUGCGCAGAGAUAUGGAGGAACACCAGUGGCGAAGGCGACUUUCUGGUCUGUAACUGACGCUGAUGUGCGAAAGCGUGGGGAUCAAACAGGAUUAGAUACCCUGGUAGUCCACGCCGUAAACGAUGAGUGCUAAGUGUUAGGGGGUUUCCGCCCCUUAGUGCUGCAGCUAACGCAUUAAGCACUCCGCCUGGGGAGUACGACCGCAAGGUUGAAACUCAAAGGAAUUGACGGGGACCCGCACAAGCGGUGGAGCAUGUGGUUUAAUUCGAAGCAACGCGAAGAACCUUACCAAAUCUUGACAUCCUUUGACAACUCUAGAGAUAGAGCCUUCCCCUUCGGGGGACAAAGUGACAGGUGGUGCAUGGUUGUCGUCAGCUCGUGUCGUGAGAUGUUGGGUUAAGUCCCGCAACGAGCGCAACCCUUAAGCUUAGUUGCCAUCAUUAAGUUGGGCACUCUAAGUUGACUGCCGGUGACAAACCGGAGGAAGGUGGGGAUGACGUCAAAUCAUCAUGCCCCUUAUGAUUUGGGCUACACACGUGCUACAAUGGACAAUACAAAGGGCAGCGAAACCGCGAGGUCAAGCAAAUCCCAUAAAGUUGUUCUCAGUUCGGAUUGUAGUCUGCAACUCGACUACAUGAAGCUGGAAUCGCUAGUAAUCGUAGAUCAGCAUGCUACGGUGAAUACGUUCCCGGGUCUUGUACACACCGCCCGUCACACCACGAGAGUUU
rnacentral:rRNA from 1 species